UCAUGGGGAAGCCAGUGGUGUGAGCUCCAGGCUGGUCUCCUGGUGUUCCCAAUGCUGUAUUCCUCUCCACUUCUAAGGCUAGAGAGCCUGUCCCUCUGCUCAAGGAUUUUGAAGGGGCAGGGGGCACAGUGAAGAUGCUCACAAUGGCAUCUAAGAGACAGAAUUCAAGUUCACGUUUCCAUUAGGAUCCCUCCAAUUCUACCUCUGAAGCUCCUUAGAGGAGAUCAAAAGAACCCACAGAGCACUAGGCUGGUACUGGAUGAAAAACUAAUAAGGCCACACCAACUGGAACUAAGAAAACUCUAGCCGUAGCUGAAGCUGGAAGCAUGAAACUGAAAACAACAAGUUUUGUGAGCCAGCUUGAUGGCUACAGAUGCUGAGCCACAAGAAACCGAAUAGCAGAUCAAGAAGGCUGGCAGAGAAGAGGUAGUGCCAAAAUAGCACUGCCUAUGAACUGAGGGGAUUAGAGUGGCUUGGAGACCACACAAGAGAUUCAAAAAUAAACUGCAGAAAAGGACACAACAGGUUUCAAGCUAAAUUGAACAGAUUAAAACAGAGGUAGUUCCAACCUGAGCAUACUUCUUAAAGUCAGAAAUUCCCUAGGGCAUACAGAAUUUGAAGACUGACAGCUAACAGAGAUGAAGACCCUGCACAGAAGCUCUGGGCACCUCUCAUUGCCCAGCUGGAUGCCCACCAACUGUGCUAUAGCUUAGGCACUCAGUGGGAUAUUUAUAGUUGCCUUUAUAUUUACCCAGCUCUCCAUAAAAUGAGGAUUUCAAAGUCACUCAGAAUGGCAGACUGGUUCUACUGAAGACCCAUCUUGAUCCCUGUCCAACAAAGUAUAAUGACAACACCGUAUAAGACCACAGAAGACCAUGGUCUUCAAGUUCCAGGCUUAAACAUCAUUACGCUGUCCUCCCGACCAAGGGGCAGAGCUCAGGAAUGACAGACUCUAUCAGUCAAUCCUGUGGCUUUAGGUCAGUCACUAUGCUUCUCUGAACUUCACUAAUGACUCUGAUGAGAGGCUGAGUCAAUAUACUCUCCAAGAUACCUUUCACUUUAACAUUCUGUGAUCUAUCAGCCUUUUUAGUAGCUGGGAAAACAAAGUGUGAUCUACUCUGCUCUGGCACUGUGAAUCUCUAGAUUCAACUAAAGGAAGCAUUCUCUUCAACUUUGUGGCUCAUUUCCAAGUCUUGGCUACCAUCCCAAUGGAUUAACCUUCUUCAAAGAGCUAUGUAUCUGAGAAGAGGUGGGAAUCAGGGACUAUGAAAGUCGGAGGGAAUAUUCUAGUCUACUUCCUUCAAAUAA